GGACGAACGCUGGCGGCGCGCUUAACACAUGCAAGUCGAACGGAAAGGCCCCUUUGGGGGUACUCGAGUGGCGAACGGGUGAGUAACACGUGAGUAACCUGCCCUUGACUUCGGGAUAACUUCAGGAAACUGGGGCUAAUACCGGAUAGGAAUCCUUGCUGCAUGGUGGGGGUUGGAAAGCUUCGGCGGUUUUGGAUGGACUCGCGGCUUAUCAGCUUGUUGGUGGGGUAGUGGCUUACCAAGGCUUUGACGGGUAGCCGGCCUGAGAGGGCGACCGGCCACAUUGGGACUGAGAUACGGCCCAGACUCCUACGGGAGGCAGCAGUGGGGAAUAUUGCACAAUGGGCGGAAGCCUGAUGCAGCAACGCCGCGUGCGGGAUGACGGCCUUCGGGUUGUAAACCGCUUUCAGCAGGGGCGAAGCUUGUGGUGACGGUACCUGCAGAAGAAGCACCGGCUAACUACGUG
rnacentral:rRNA from 1 species